GACGAACGCUGGCGGCGUGCUUAACACAUGCAAGUCGAACGGAAAGGCCCUGCUUUUGUGGGGUGCUCGAGUGGCGAACGGGUGAGUAACACGUGAGUAACCUGCCCUUGACUUUGGGAUAACUUCAGGAAACUGGGGCUAAUACCGGAUAGGAGCUCCUGCUGCAUGGUGGGCGUUGGAAAGUUUCGGCGGUUGGGGAUGGACUCGCGGCUUAUCAGCUUGCUGGUGGGGUAGUGGCUUACCAAGGCUUUGACGGGUAGCCGGCCUGAGAGGGUGACCGGCCACAUUGGGACUGAGAUACGGCCCAGACUGCUACGGGAGGCAGCAGUGGGGAAUAUUGCACAAUGGGCGGAAGCCUGAUGCAGCAACGCCGCGUGCGGGAUGACGGCCUUCGGGUUGUAAACCGCUUUCGCCUGUGACGAAGCGUGAGUGACGGUAAUGGGUAAAGAAGCACCGGCUAACUACAUG
rnacentral:rRNA from 1 species